rnacentral:rRNA from 1 species
UACGUAGGGUGCAAGCGUUAAUCGGAAUUACUGGGCGUAAAGCGUGCGCAGGCGGUUUUGUAAGUCUGUCGUGAAAUCCCCGGGCUCAACCUGGGAAUGGCGAUGGAGACUGCAAGGCUGGAAUCUGGCAGAGGGGGGUAGAAUUCCACGUGUAGCAGUGAAAUGCGUAGAGAUGUGGAGGAACACCGAUGGCGAAGGCAGCCCCCUGGGCUAACACUGACGCUCAUGCACGAAAGCGUGGGGAGCAAACAGG